UCCUUCCUUCUUUCCUUCCUUCCUUCCCUCCCUCCUCCCCUCCCUCCUGCCCCCCGGUGACAUUGAAUCCAUCCCUAGAGCCGUGCAGAGCCUCCUGGGCAACGCACAGAUGCCGUGGUGGGAUAGGGAGCAGGGACUACAGCCCUGACAUACGUCGCCACCGUUUGCCGGCUCCGUGUUCCAACACCGCCAUCCAGCAAAAAUGGUAUGCCCUGGAUGUUUGCUACUUUCAACAUCCCAACCCUGCCACCAAAAAAAAAAAAAAAGUUCCUCCAGCAGAUGCUGCUCCAAGGGGAGGCCAGCUUCUAAACAUGAAACAGCCACCUUGCACCAGAGGCUCUGGAGGACUGAUGGGGCAGCACUGGCCCUGCUGCUGCUUCAGUGCAAGAACUGCUGUCAUCGUCAGGGGCAGUGUCAAAGACCUGAGGCCAGAUGUUUGCAUCCAGUCUGACCUUCCAGAACUGAUCUGAAGGCUGACAGCAGAAACUCGGCAUCUGAGGCACCUCCCAGAGUCCCAGAAUGGGGACUUUUUGACCAGCUGAGAUCAGAUGGAAUUUCACAAAGAAGAGACCCUGAAGGAGACAAAGGAAAGAUGUUCUGCCUAAACUUAGCUAAAAUAAGAACAGCAAGUAGAUUUUCAAGAGUUGCUCCUCCUGAUGCCCUGUCCUACGCAAGCAGUGAAGGAUCGAGAAUACACUUGAUCCAGCCACUCUGUAUUUUUCUCAGCAUUUGCUCAAAUAUUAGCAUUUGGCUGUCAUCCCCCUCCUUUCAGCCCCCUUCCCUUCCCCUCCCCUUCAGACUCUACAAAUGAACAACUCAUUGUCCUCUGCCUGGGCUGUGCCAGCGGAGGGCCCUCUAGUACAGCUGUUGCCAGAUCAGACCUUGUCUGGGCUUCCAGUUUAGGAUGGGAUUCUGAAAACAAAACAAAAUAGUGUUUGAAAUCAGUUGAGUAACGCUGUUUCUCCCAUACACUGCUACUAGAUUUCUCAGCAUUUUCUGCAUUUUCUGCACACUUUAGAAAUGACCUUUGCUGAUUAAGGCCCAGAUUACAUGUAAUGCUCUGGUUGAUCUGCUGAAGUUUAGGUUGUCUUGUAGCUCUUUGCACAUAACCACCUGUCCAUGUAUCUUAGCUGUUGGCAAAUGCUGGCUUCACUCCUACCACCAGUGGGACGAUUUACUUUCCCUCUGGCUUAUUGUAUAGUAGAAAGAGAAAGGAAAAAGGGAAAGACUCUCUGGUUUAGUCUAGAUAUCAGAGUCCCACAGUAAACAUCUUAAUUGUGAAUUAAAGUCACCAUAUUUCAGUGAAACCAUUAAAGAAUAAAUGAAGUAAAUGCAUUGUAGAUACACUCCUUCCUACUGGUAGCAGAAAUAUCUACUAACUUGACCAUCAACUCUAGACAGAAAGCCAGGUUUUUGAUAACUGCUGUAUCAUAAAAUUUCAAAUAGUUAUGAACUGGAACUUGCUUUACAUCAAGAAACAGUUCUGUAUGUUUCUGGCAACAGGAAGGCAUUGCACAACUUACCCUUUAGGCAAACAAGAUAUUAAGUAAUUGUACGGGGAGGAAACUUGCAGAGCGGAAAACUUCAGAUAAUACGGAGACAGUGUUUGACAAGCACUACAACACUUUACUGCUUACUCUCUCUUAGCUCACACCUUAAUAAAGUAUAUAGUGCUGAGAAUGUGGUGUUUUAACAACCUCCAAAGUUUGCACACUAUUUCAAUUUGAAAAUACCUUUAUCUCAUUUAGAAAAGUAAUUUCUUACACAUUUGCACUGAAGUCGUGAUAUGUGCUGUAUCCUAAAUGCCACAAAGUAUCAGAGUGCUCCUUCAAGUUAGUAAUGCAUACUGUAGUCAAACAAAUCUGACAGACUGGCCCCAGAACAGGCUAAUCUGCGUGAACUGCUAGUCAGAUUGCAAAAGUUCCUUCACCUGACCUAUUGCUGACCUUCUGUGAGGUCAGUCACUGGAUACCAAGGUUGAAAAGUUUGAAUAAUGUUUGCUAGUGCCACACAAUCUAGUAACUGAAAUGGAAAUAGCAAUUCGUAUGUCUACCUUUGACGGCAUGGAAAAAAUGCUUCUCCUGGAUUUGUUCCACAAGAAGAUCCUAUUGAUCUUCUAUGAGUUACUUUCUCUGGGCUGAGGGGUAGUUUAUAUUGAUUACAUGAUAUAGUAGCUGAUCAGUAGGUUGUGUUUAUCAUUUCUGCAAACAACAUCUACCAUAUAUUUCAUGGCAUCAAACUAUAGUUGUAGUAUGUGAGGCAGUAAACAUCUAAUUCUGUCUAGCUGUUUGCUGUGAUCAAGAUAUUAUAAACAUACCAAAAUAGUUCACCUAACAACAUGACCUGUUUUUUUUUCUCCAUUCCAUUCAUAGCUGAAGGUGUCAGAAACUUGAGAAAGCUAUGCUUAUUAUACAUGAAUCAUUUGACAGCUAUUGAGGAUGGCAUAACCUACAUUGUAAGAUGAGUCCCUGAUGAACCAAGUGACCUUGAAGAAGUCCAGCUAGUCAACUGCUAUAUCUUCAGUGAUGCUGUGGAAAUUCUGGGUAGUUAUAAUAAUAGCAACUUUACAAAUUGAAUAUGUGUGUUUUGAAAAUCAAUACAUAAUUCUCUAACACAAGAAAAAGCAUAUGAUUCUAUGAUACAAGGUCCUUCUUUGUCCUAAACAAUAUUUUAACUGAUGGCUUAAGUGACAGAAUGGAGGAUACACUUAUAAAAUUUCAGAUGAUACUGAUCUUGGAAGGCUUACAAGCCCUGUUGGAACACAAAACCACAAAUAAAAUUGGAUGCAUUUAAGAGGAGGUUUAGAAACAGCAAUAGGGAAUUCAUUGUAAAGGGCUGCAACUGGGAAUGAGUCAUCAGAUUCAUUAAAAUAAAUGGAGAUUUAUCUGUGUAACAGAAAAAAAUUAGAGCUCUUCUGUGAAGGACGGGGAAAACUAUGCUAUUGCAAAAAAACCUGUGCUGGUGAGUCCUGAAAAACAAGUCUGUGCUCAGCCUCAGUAUGAUUAUGAAGAAAGGUACAGAGAGAGAGCACCAAAAAGUUAGAGCUUAAAAAAACAUGACUUAUGAGAAAUGGUUUAAUUUUGUUUUGGUUGAGACAGAAGUCUGAAAAAGAGCUUUCCCAGUGGACUUACAAUCUUUCAUAUUUGAAAAAUGCUUUUCUCCAGAACCACAUAUUGAAUCAGCAGCUUGAGGAUUAUUUGGAUUUCCUUGUUUGCAAGUCAGACUGGAGUGAGCAUAGUAUCAUAUCCUCUUCUGGAAGAAACAGGUCAAAAAAAUUGAGAGAUGAUCUUGCAUAAGCCCCAGAUCUUGCAACCUGUAACACCUCUUGGUCUUUAAAUGAUUUCAAGGAGUGUUCACUUUAUCUGUGUGCUUUUUAUGAGCUCAUUUUUAUUAGCUUUGACAUUUAACUAUAUGAAUUAGGGAAAGCUCUUAAGAAAAAGGUAACAAAGCCUAUAACCUGAUGGAGAAUAGGUAGAUGUUUUACCAGUUUUUUUUUCAGUUAUAUAGUAUAGUUGCCUGACCUAGCAAAGAGAAACUUUUCCUACUGUCAGGGCAAUUCUAGUAUAGUUACAUCUCUAUAAUUCACUAUGGGAAAAUUUAUUGCUGGAUAGAAUAUGCCAAUGAAAAGUUAGAUGUCUAAAAUAACAACAGGAUGUUUAGAGCAUAUUAGUUCUACAAGAGAGGGCAUUAAACAGAAAUGUAACCAAAGAGCUGUUCUGUAGUUACUUGCCACAAACAAAUUCUUACUCCACACCAAAACACCAGAUAGCUUAUGGCAAGCAACUUUUACCAUCUUUAAUCUACCACCAUUUUGGCUUAUAAAAAGAAGUCAUCAUUUAUUUCUCUCUUUCACAGUAAGCCAUCUCUCAUUUAACAUGUGGUAAGAGUUUACAUGUGGACACUAUAACAAAGUUACAGGUGUGCUCUCAAGUUCACAUUGUCGUCCACUUUACAGGAAAUUAUUGUUUUCUGAUACCUUUAGUUCCUGAUGUAGACAAGCCAGGAUGCAGUUUCCAGGCCCUCGCAGUACACAAAUAUCGCAGGAGAGCACUGUGUACACGAGGAAGCUCCAAACAGAGCCAAAGAAAACAGAGGAGUCACUUGGCCACUUCUGUAAAAAGUGGUGGCCAAUUAAAGGCAGUUGCAAAAACUCUGAUCUAGAAAGCUACUGCAGAAUAGAGUUAAUGGCUAUUGUUGAACCUGAAGAAGAAAGGAGGCGUAGACCAGGCAGGGAGCCUUGUUAAGAACAAGAUCUUGGACAGUUGGUGGUUAAAGUUCAGUCCUCGAGAUUGAAUGGAGAUGGGUGACCUUUUUUUUUUUUUUUUUUUUUUGAGGAUGAUUGCAAUUUAGGGACCUUAGGGAGAAACUUAGGGGAAAACCAGGAGGUCUAACACAAUGCUGAGAAAUUAGAAUGAACAAGAAAUAUUUAUUUCAUACUUCAGGUGCCUGUGAAGUUUUGUUGCCAGCUGGCAUCUCAAACAUCAUAAUACCAAGCUGGAAAUGUGAGCUAUAGAGCAGUCAAAUUUUGGUGAGGUCAAGAAAGAAAAUAAGAGCCGGAUGAGGGCUUAUGUCUGAUGCUAUGCCAAAAGCCAAAAGACUAUGCAAGCACUGAGGCAAUCUUCUUCCUAUAAAUGGAUAUGUAAAGUUUUUCGGUAGAGAAAAAGAAAGAAGAAAACAACUGAAAAACAUGCCCAUGAAGUCACAAAAUUGAACAAAUGAUGUUUCUCAGAUAGCUGGGGACAAAUCUCUACAAUUGAUUUCACAGUGUUAUCAAAUUGAAUUGCUUACUUCACCUGUUUUUAGUCUCUUGUGCUAUUCAGCCUUAUUGUUCCAGUCUGAAGACCUUCUGUUUUCUAUGAAAAAAAAUAACAAAAUCACACAUAAUUUCAUUAUUGUAAUUAAAGGACUAUUCUGUUCU